AGAAAACUCGAUAUUUGCAUAUGAAGCUCGAAGUUUGCAGAGAAAGCUCGAUGCUUGCAAAAGAAGCCUGAACUUUGCACAACAUACUCGAAAUUUUGAUUGAGUACUUGAAAUUACACAAUUGAAUCCAACCAACAUUUCUUAUCUUAAUACGUAACUUGACGUCUACACAAAAAACUCGUGUUAGUUUUUUCUUCCAUGAAGGUCUAUAUAUGGUCCACAUUUUUCAUCAUUUUAGGGAUGUGAAUAACUGCUAAAAUCAUGUCCCAACUGCAUCAUUUUAGAGACAUGAACGAUUGCCAAAAUCAUGCCCCAAUUGUCUCCCCAAGUUUGCAUUUGGUUCAGAAUGGUUCUAUGAUGGAUUGAGCCUAAUAUAUAUACAGUUUCUUCCACCGGUUGGGUCCUUAAGCUUUCCAAUCUCAUACAACAAGACAUACGCCAUCAAGUCAAGAUUGAGCGAGGUUUAGAAGCACCUAAAUCUGAUAAUAAAGUGUGUGAUAGUGGCAAUGGCAGGAAGUAUAUUUUCGGUUCCGUUUUAUUCCGCAUUUCAUCUAUAUGUUAUUCGUUUGUCUACACAUGAUAGAUCAAGAUAAAGUCUAAUAGUUGGUAUCAGAGCCUUGUUUACCUCUGCCUUGCUCGUUUUUGUUCUCUACAAUUUCCAAAAAUUUUAUAGCGUUCAUGAAAUUUUGGGUUAGAUUUCAAAUCCUUGUUUUGAUGGAAAUAAAAUUAGGAAUCAUUGAGAAAUUGGAUUUCUAACAUUCUAGGAUUGAUACGUAAAUUUUGGUGUUUGGAAUGUAUAGAAACUGUUGGGUUGCUAUUUGGGUUGAAACUGGGUCAAAAUGACCCGGCUGAACGUAGAAGACGACUGUUUAAUCAAAAAAAUGAUUUUUCCAUUCAAAUCAUGGUCCCACUUGUAAGAGAUAAGGCUUCUACUGAUCUAAUAUUGAAAUGGGUUGAUCUAAUAUAGAAAUGGAAUGUAAUGUAAUUUGGAUUACUUUAAUCAAAAUUUUGACUAGCACAUGGUUGCAGCCGAAAUUUUUGAACUUGUAUCUCAUUGUGGACUCGUGCUGGAAAUUAAUGAGAAUUGUUUGGUGGUUUUGUUUUCAUAUGUAC
rnacentral:lncRNA from 1 species